AGUGGAUGGGGAGCAACCUAGUUGUGCGUGUGUAAAGGUAGUGCCAAGAAAAGCGGUGAUCAUGAUGAAAAUCAAUUCCCGGUACCCGAAACCGACACAGGUGGGCAAGUAGAGAAUACUAAGGGGCGCGAGGUAACUCUCUCCAAGGAACUCGGCAAAAUGACCCCGUAACUUAGGGAGAAGGGGUGCCACCGAGAGGUGGUCGCAGUGAAGAGGCCCAGGCGACUGUUUAGCAAAAACAUAGGUCUCUGCAAACUCGAAAGAGGAGGUAUAGGGGCUGACGCCUGCCCAGUGCCGGAAGGUUAAAGAAGUUGGUCAGUCUUAGGAUGAAGCUAGCGACUGAAGCCCCGGUGAACGGCGGCCGUAACUAUAACGGUCCUAAGGUAGCGAAAUUCCUUGUCGGGUAAGUUCCGACCCGCACGAAAGGCGUAACGAUCUGGGCGCUGUCUCGGAGAGAGGCUCGGCGAAAUAGGAUUGUCUGUGAAGAUACGGACUACCUGCAUUUGGACAGAAAGACCCUAUGAAGCCUUACUAUAGCUUGGAAUUGUGUUCGGGCUUCCUGUGCGCAGGAUAGGUGGGAGGCGUAGAAGGUAUUCUUGUGGGGAUACUGGAGCCAACGGUGAGAUACCACUCUCAGGAGGCUAGAAUUCUAACUUAAUUAAGGACAGUUUCAGGUGGGUAGUUUGACUGGGGCGGUCGCCUCCAAAAAGGUAACGGAGGCGUACAAAGGUUCCCUCAGACUGGUUGGAAAUCAGUCGAAGAGUGCAAAGGCAGAAGGGAGCUUGACUGCGAGAAGUACAGUUCGAGCAGGGUGGAAACACGGUCUUAGUGAUCCGACGGUGCUGUGUGGAAGGGCCGUCGCUCAACGGAUAAAAGUUACUCUAGGAUAACAGGCUGAUCUCCCCCAAGAGUUCACAUCGACGGGGAGGUUUGGCACCUCGAUGUCGGCUCAUCGCAACCUGGGGCGGAAGUACGUCCCAAGGGUUGGGCUGUUCGCCCAUUAAAGCGGUACGUGAGCUGGGUUCAGAACGUCGUGAGACAGUUCGGUCCAUAUCCGAUGUAGGCGUGAGAAUAUUGAGAGGAGCCUUCCUUAGUACGAGAGGACCGGGAAGGACGCACCGCUGGUGUACCUGUUAUGAUGCCAAUUGUAAACGCAGGGUAGCCAAGUGCGGAGAGGAUAACCGCUGAAAGCAUCUAAGUGGGAAGCCCACCUCAAGAUGAGUAUUCUGGUGUAAGGUCACGGGAAGACGACCCGUAAAUAGGCACGAGGUGGAAGUGCAGAGAUGUAUGAAGCCGAAGUGUACUAAUAGACCGUCGGCUUGACC
rnacentral:rRNA from 1 species